UGAUGACAAUGACAACAGGAAGGACUGAAAACCCGACACCAACCAAAACCUCAACAGGAUGUGAUUCAUCAAACUCUAAAGCUCUGUGGCGUUUCAUCAUCGUCUCUGUGGGUUUAGCAGCUCUUUCAAUAAUUGUUGUGAGCGUCAACAUUUGGACAAGAACUAAAG